GACGAACGCUGGCGGCGUGCUUAACACAUGCAAGUCGAACGGUGAAGCGAGUGCUUGCACUCGUGGAUCAGUGGCGAACGGGUGAGUAACACGUGAGUAACCUGCCCAUCACUCUGGGAUAAGCACUGGAAACGGUGUCUAAUGCUGGAUACGACCAACCCUUGCAUGGGGUGUUGGUGGAAAGAUUUAUCGGUGAUGGAUGGACUCGCGGCCUAUCAGCUUGUUGGCGGGGUAAUGGCCCACCAAGGCGACGACGGGUAGCCGGCCUGAGAGGGUGACCGGCCACACUGGGACUGAGACACGGCCCAGACUCCUACGGGAGGCAGCAGUGGGGAAUAUUGCACAAUGGGCGAAAGCCUGAUGCAGCGACGCCGCGUGAGGGAUGACGGCCUUCGGGUUGUAAACCUCUUUCAGCAGGGAAGAAGCGAAAGUGACGGUACCUGCAGAAGAAGCACCGGCUAACUACGUG
rnacentral:rRNA from 1 species